CAGGUCUCGCACGCGCGCGCGCGCUCAUCAGCAGCGUCAGCAUCAGCAUCCGUGCAUCAGCAGACCCGGGCGAAAUGAUGCCGCGCGCGGGGCACCGCCGACAUCCAUGCACAAACUUCACUGGGAUACUGCAAAGCUGCGUCGACGGAAGAAGAGCAGAGGAUGGACCAUUUACCUGCAGACUACGGAGGGAGGUGACGUCAUCGUGGGUCCUGGAACCAUGGAAGUUGUGCAUCUAGGAAAAUCUCUGAUUCUUGUAAACAAAAAUGUAAUCUUUAUAUAUUUGCUUGUUUUAUUGUAGUACAAUCAUGUGAGGCAUGUCCCAGAUAUUUCAAAUGUGGGGGCUAUCUAUCUAUCUAUCUAUCUAUCUAUCUAUCUACAGUAUCUAUCUAUCUAUCUGUCUAUCUAUGGCCUAUCUAUUUGUAUUUGAUAUUAAUUUGGUAACAGUAAUUUUUUUCAUUUAAUUGAUUCAACUUUAAUUGAUUCCAUUUGAUUGAUUCAUGUCAUAAUGGAGAUCUUUUAGUUUCAUAUAAAAUGUUUUACAUGAAAACAUUUUUUGUUUAUUUUGGACACUAAUAAUACUGCUAGUGAAAAUGCUUCUAUUUAAUUUUUUGUUUUUUUUUUAAUUUAUUGUGCAUUUCUGUUUACACAGUAUACUGUCAUCAAUUUAAUGCAAAUGCAAAUUGAACAGGAAUUUAGAACCUCUGACCGUCUGUACGAUCAGUAGGGUUGGGAAUUGUUAGAAAUUUUCCGGUAACUGUUCCAUUAAAAUCAUUAAACAACUAUUAAAUAAUAGUGGUAAGGAAAAAUGCACAAUACUCAACUACUCAAUGCUCAAUACUGUUUAUUACUUACUGUCAACUUAAUUUAAAGUUUGGCAAUGUCAAAAUUCAACAUAUAUUAUGCUUUACACAUGUUCAGGUUCCGAUUCCGGUUCCAUUUAAAUGAACUAUUAUUAUGUUUUUUUACUAUUUUACCUUCAUUGAAUGUUGUGUUGCUGGAAGGUAGUAAGUAAUGUUGAGUAAUGCUAGUCCAUCAAUCAGCAUGUGCUUCAAAGUUGAUGUUUUUUACACCAUCAAUAACAUUUAGCUUUUCAAGCAGGAAUAAGCUGGUUGGCCAAGUAGUCCCUUGAGAGCUAUGACACUUGUUCAUUUCCCUAAAUUAAUGAAUUAUAAACACACUCCAUAAAGCC
ensembl:lncRNA